rnacentral:rRNA from 1 species
CGGACGGGUGGAGUAACGACGUGGAAAACCUAGCCGUAUACUGGGGAGUAACACUUAGAAAUAGGUGCUAAUACCGCAUAAGCGCACAGCUUCGCAUGAAGCGGUGUGAAAAACUACUGGUGGUAUACGAUGGUUCCGCGUCUGAUUAGCUAGUUGGUGGGGUAAUGGCCUACCAAGGCAACGAUCAGUAGCCGGCUUGAGAGGGUGAACGGCCACAUUGGGACUGAGACACGGCCCAAACUCCUACGGGAGGCAGCAG